GGCACAAGCUGUUAACUAAAUUUUUCUUUCAUUAUCCGCGAAUCCACGCGCGGCUUGGGCCUUGGUCCGUGACCAUUUUUUAUCUCUUUUCUUUUCUAGGUUCUCAAAAAGAACAAAAUGGUCCAACGAUUGACAUACAGAAGACGAUUGUCGUACAACACGAAAAGCAACAGAAGGCGUGUUGUUCGUACACCAGGUGGUAAAUUGGUUUACCAAUACUU